AACCUUCCAUUCGACAUACACAACAGAUACAAGUUUACGUUAAUUUUCACUCUUUUCAUAAGUUCUGGAAUGGCUAUACCAUUUUUGGCUGUUCGUCAUCAGUUAUUGAAAUAAAUAAUGUAAAAGUUUUCUGCAAUCAUCAGCUAUCCUACAAAUUCAACGAUCUACUUAAACUUGAGAAUAAAAAUGAGAGGAAUAGAACUAAAAUAAACAGAAUAUUUCUUAAAAAUCUCAAAUGUAACCACAAAUUAUAAAAUUAUACAUGAUUCUUAAUAAAGUUAUUUCACAUAGUUGA